UGAAAUCAAGCUCCUAUUCAUUCUACAAAUGAUGCAAAUGGCUUGGAGUUUAGAAUUGGCAGAUCAUCUUGAUUUCCACAUUUAGAUCUCCAAGAGAUGUCACCACUGAGGCCAAAGAGCCUACUUAUCUCGCCCCAGAUUUCACAGCUGGUGGGUGGCAAAGCAGCACCAGGUUUCACACCAAGUUUGCCUGAUUCCAAGUGUGUGAAGCACUCCCUCCUGACAACUUUGAAAGGCCUUCUAAGUCAAUUACCAGAAAGGGAAUUAUAAGAAGUUGUUUUCUG
rnacentral:lncRNA from 1 species